ACACUCGACACUACCCAAAGGCAACAACGGAGCGACGAUGGUCGAGACCUGCUACGGGUGGCGACCAAAAGCGAGAUUUUCUUCUUUACACGGUCGUCGGUCGAGUCCGGCUAACGGAGAUUGAAACCGGAAAAAUUAAACUACGGUAGGUAGGUAAAAUUUUAAUAGUUUUGAAAAUAAAUCAAAAUUAUGCUAAGGCUGAAAGGCAUAAUCAAAAUUAACUAUUGUAGAAUCAUCAUGAUGUUCUUCAAUGGCACGAGCUUCAGAUUUAAUUUCAAUUCAGCAAGGGUCAGAUUACCGGAAAGGCCUAAGCAUCUUCAAUUCAGCAAUGGAAGCUAGACGAAGGAGAUAUAUAAGACUCUGUAUGUUCUUCCACCAGAUCAGAUAGAAGAACACCAACGUGAUUGGUCUUCAGAUCUGAAUAAGGCAGUCGGCGAUGACGGUGACAAAACGGAAAAUUUUAUAGUUAAUCAAAGCAUAGGAGAGGAGUAAAAAGCAGAUCAGAGCUGCCUAGACAGAUCGUUUUGAAUUGGGGUCGGGUAGCUUCAUGGUCAACAACCCGGACAGACCAACCAUAUUAGCAACGUGAAAUGUCUUAUUUGUCCCUGCCAAAUCGGAGAAAUGUUUGACUAACAUUUUUCCGGUGGAAAUUCGCCAUUAAUUUGGCCGGCGUGACCAAAAUUGAUAGAAAUUGCAUA